UACGGAAGGGGCAAGCGUUGUUCGGAAUCAUUGGGCGUAAAGGGCGCGUAGGUGGUUCUGUAUGUCUACCGUGAAAGCGUACGGCUCAACCGUAUUUUGUCGGUGGAAACUGCAGGACUUGAGGCUGGGGAGGGGCUGGUGGAAUUCCCUGUGUAGCGGUGAAAUGCGUAGAGAUGGGGGGAGAACACUCGUGGCGAAGGCGGCCAGCUAGACCAGUUCUGACACUGAGGCGCGACAGCGUGGGGGAGCAAACAGG
rnacentral:rRNA from 1 species